GAUCGGCCCGCGUCUGAUUAGCUAGUUGGUGGGGUACUGGCCUACCAAGGCGACGAUCAGUAGCUGGUCUGAGAGGAUGAUCAGCCACACUGGGACUGAGACACGGCCCAGACUCCUACGGGAGGCAGCAGUGGGGAAUAUUGGACAAUGGGCGCAAGCCUGAUCCAGCCAUGCCGCGUGAGUGAUGAAGGCCUUAGGGUUGUAAAGCUCUUUUAUCCGGGACGAUAAUGACGGUACCGGAGGAAUAAGCCCCGGCUAACUUCGUGCCAGCAGCCGCGGUAAUACGAAGGGGGCUAGCGUUGCUCGGAACCACUGGGCGUAAAGGGCGCGUAGGCGGCGUUUUAAGUUGGGGGUGAAAGCCUGUGGCUCAACCACAGAAUUGCCUUCGAUACUGGGACGCUUGAGUGUGGUAGAGGUUGGUGGAACUGCGAGUGUAGAGGUGAAAUUCGUAGAUAUUCGCAAGAACACCGGUGGCGAAGGCGGCCAACUGGACCAUCACUGACGCUGAGGCGCGAAAGCGUGGGGAGCAAACAGGGUUAGAUACCCUGGUAGUCCACGCC
rnacentral:rRNA from 1 species